rnacentral:rRNA from 1 species
GACGAACGCUGGCGGCGUGCUUAACACAUGCAAGUCGAACGGUGAAGCGCCUUCCUUUUUGGUUGGUGUGGAUGAGCGGCGAACGGGUGAGUAACACGUGAGUAACCUGCCCCCUUCUUCUGGAUAACCGCAUGAAAGUGUGGCUAAUACGGGAUAUUCUGGGUCUGUCGCAUGAUGGGUCUGGGAAAGAUAUUGUUUCGGUGGGGGAUGGGCUCGCGGCCUAUCAGCUUGUUGGUGGGGUGAUGGCCUACCAAGGCGGUGACGGGUAGCCGGCCUGAGAGGGUGGACGGUCACACUGGGACUGAGACACGGCCCAGACUCCUACGGGAGGCAGCAGUGGGGAAUAUUGCACAAUGGGCGCAAGCCUGAUGCAGCGACGCCGCGUGAGGGAUGGAGGCCUUCGGGUUGUGAACCUCUUUCGCCAGUGAAGCAGGCCUGCCUCGUUUGUGGGUGGGUUGACGGUAGCUGGAUAAGAAGCGCCGGCUAACUACGUG